rnacentral:rRNA from 1 species
CAGUAGGGAAUCUUCCGCAAUGGACGAAAGUCUGACGGAGCAACGCCGCGUGAGUGAAGAAGGUUUUCGGAUCGUAAAGCUCUGUCCUCAGGGAAGAACAAGUACGGAAGUAACUGUCCGUACCUUGACGGUACCUGACCAGAAAGCCACGGCUAACUACGUGCCAGCAGCCGCGGUAAUACGUAGGUGGCAAGCGUUGUCCGGAAUUAUUGGGCGUAAAGCGCGCGCAGGCGGCUUCUUAAGUCUGAUGUGAAAGCCCCCGGCUCAACCGUGGAGGGUCAUUGGAAACUGGGAGGCUUGAGUGCAGAAGAGGAGAGCGGAAUUCCACGUGUAGCGGUGAAAUGCGUAGAGAUGUGGNAGGAACACCAGNUGGCGAAGGCGGCUCUCUGNGUCUGUAACUGACGCNUGAGGCGCGAAAGCGUGGGGAGCGAACAGGAUUAGAUACCCUGGUAGUCCACGCCGUAAACGAUGAGUGCUAAGUGUUGGAGGGUUUCCGCCCUUCAGUGCUGCAGCUAACGCAUUAAGCACUCCGCCUGGGGAGUACGGCCGCNAAGGCUGAAACUCAAAGGAAUUGACGGGGGCCCGCACAAGCGGUGGAGCAUGUGGUUUAAUUCGAAGCAACGCGAAGAACCUUACCAGGUCUUGACAUCCCGCUGACCGGUCUGGAGACAGGCCUUUCCCUUCGGGGACAGCGGUGACAGGUGGUGCAUGGUUGUCGUCAGCUCGUGUCGUGAGAUGUUGGGUUAAGUCCCGCAACGAGCGCAACCCUUGAUCUUAGUUGCCAGCAUUCAGUUGGGCACUCUAAGGUGACUGCCGGUGACAAACCGGAGGAAGGUGGGGAUGACGUCAAAUCAUCAUGCCCCUUAUGACCUGGGCUACACACGUGCUACAAUGGAUGGUACAAAGGGCUGCAAGACCGCGAGGUUUAGCCAAUCACAUAAAACCAUU